AAACAGUAUGCUAAUGUCUCAUAACGAUAUCAACCGGACACUUUGCGUCUAUAAACUACGAUUUAGUUGCUAAUUACUUAACUAUUUGCCAUGUGGUUAAAUGUGUUUUUCAGAUGCUAAUAUAAGCACAGACAUGCUGCCCAGCCUCUCUAAGGAGGAUUUGCGUGAUCUUUCUCGGGCCAGAACACUUCUUCAGAAGGAGAGCCAUUUGGAGAUUUACUCAUGGCGAAAAUGAGGAAUCUGUGAAGAAGCAGCUUUUGAAAAGGAUUCAGAAUGUGACAACCCCCAAAAAGAAGCAGGGAGCGACCCCUUCAAGAAAGAGGCCACGAAGCCUUAGAUUUCAGAGCAGCCAGGAGAUGUCCACUGAUGAGACUGACGAAUCCACCUCCUCAAUCCUGAUCUUGGAGAGAUCCCCACUAUCUAGAUGCAGAUGGUGGAUAGUGUUUCUGUAUAAAUGCAACUUCUACUACUACUCUAAAUGAGGGACUAGAAACAAAGUGACUAUUUAGUCUUCAGUGUUUCCUGUGGAAUGAGA
rnacentral:lncRNA from 13 species